AUUGAACGCUGGCGGCAUGCCUUACACAUGCAAGUCGAACGGAUCAAGGGGCUUGCUCCUUGGUUAGUGGCGAACGGGUGAGUAAUGCAUCGGAACGUACCCAAUCGUGGGGGAUAACGUAGCGAAAGUUACGCUAAUACCGCAUAAGUCCUGAGGGAGAAAGCAGGGGAUCGCAAGACCUUGCGCGAAUGGAGCGGCCGAUGUCGGAUUAGCUAGUUGGUGAGGUAAAGGCUCACCAAGGCGACGAUCCGUAGCUGGUCUGAGAGGACGACCAGCCACACUGGGACUGAGACACGGCCCAGACUCCUACGGGAGGCAGCAGUGGGGAAUUUUGGACAAUGGGCGAAAGCCUGAUCCAGCCAUGCCGCGUGAGUGAAGAAGGCCUUCGGGUUGUAAAGCUCUUUCGGACAGAAAGAAAUCUUCCGGGCUAAUACCUCGGAAGGAUGACGGUACUGUAAGAAGAAGCACCGGCUAACUACGUGCCAGCAGCCGCGGUAAAAC
rnacentral:rRNA from 1 species